rnacentral:piRNA from 1 species
UGGAGCUCACCGAUCUUUCCACUCCU